CCUACGGGAUGCAGCAGUCGAGAAUCAUUCACAAUGGGGGAAACCCUGAUGGUGCGACGCCGCGUGGGGGAAUGAAGGUCUUCGGAUUGUAAACCCCUGUCAUGUGGGAGCAAAUUUAAAAGAUCGUACCACAAGAGGCAGAGACGGCUAACUCUGUGCCAGCAGCCGCGGUAAUACAGAGGUCUCAAGCGUUGUUCGGAAUCACUGGGCGUAAAGCGUGCGUAGGCUGUUUCGUAAGUCGUGUGUGAAAGGCGCGGGCUCAACCCGCGGACGGCACAUGAUACUGCGAGACGAGAGUAAGGGAGGGGGAACCGGAAUUCUCGGUGUAGCAGUGAAAUGCGUAGAUAGCGAGAGGAACACUCGUGGCGAAGGCGGGUUCCUGGACAUUAACUGACGCUGAGGCACGAAGGCCAGGGGAGCGAAAGGGAUUAGAUACCCGAGUAGUC
rnacentral:rRNA from 1 species